UACGUAGGUGGCGAGCGUUGUUCGGAUUUACUGGGCGUAAAGGGCGCGUAGGCGGUCAGCACAAGUCAGUUGUGAAAUCUCCGGGCUUAACUCGGAAAGGUCAACUGAUACUGUGCGACUAGAGUGCAGAAGGGGCAACUGGAAUUCUCGGUGUAGCGGUGAAAUGCGUAGAUAUCGAGAGGAACACCUGCGGCGAAGGCGGGUUGCUGGGCUGACACUGACGCUGAUGCGCGAAAGCCAGGGGAGCGAACGGG
rnacentral:rRNA from 1 species